UACAGAGGUCUCAAGCGUUGUUCGGAUUCAUUGGGCGUAAAGGGUGCGUAGGCGGCGCGGUGAGUCGGGUGUGAAAUCUCGGAGCUUAACUCCGAAACUGCAUUCGAUACUGCCGUGCUUGAGGACUGGAGAGGAGACUGGAAUUUACGGUGUAGCGGUGAAAUGCGUAGAUAUCGUAAGGAAGACCAGUGGCGAAGGCGGGUCUCUGGGCCGAUACUGACGCUGAGGAGCGAAAGCGUGGGGAGCGAACAGG
rnacentral:rRNA from 1 species